rnacentral:rRNA from 1 species
UACAGAAGUCCCAAGCGUUGUUCGGAUUCACUGGGCGUAAAGGGUGCGUAGGUGGCCAGGUAAGUUUGGUGUGAAAGCUCGGAGCUUAACUCCGAAAAGUCAUUGAAUACUAUCUGGCUGGAGGGUCGGAGGGGAGACUGGAAUUCUCGGUGUAGCAGUGAAAUGCGUAGAUAUCGAGAGGAACACCAGUGGCGAAGGCGAGUCUCUGGACGACUCCUGACACUGAGGCACGAAAGCUAGGGGAGCAAACAGG